AGGCUGCCUCAGGAUCAGGUUCAUUGUCACCAAACUGCCUUUUUUUUUUUUUUAAAGGGUAUGUGAUCUUGACUUUUUCCAUUCAUUCUUUUUUGUUGGUUUUUGGGGGGGUUUGAGGGGAGGUUAGGUUUGUUUGUUUGUUUGUUUGUUUAUUAAUGGAGGUACUGGGGAUUGAACCCAGGACCCUAAGCAUGCACUCUACGACUAAGCUCUACCCUCCCAUCCUCCAUUCAUUCUUGAUGCUCUCGUGGGACCAUUCCUCUUGCUUCCCAGGAUGCUUUGGAUGCACAGACAGCCCCGGACAGCCCAUGCUUGAUGGGACACCCUGUCCUGCUCUGCCAACUGGCUGUGUGUCUCCUGCGAUAGGGGCAGUGAGGGGACUAUUUGUGGAGGUGUGGACAGGUUAAGGGACUAAGAAGAGGUGUUGAGACCCCGGGGCUAGUGGCUCCUUGGAUGGGUGGGGACUGGGCGGUGGACCACACUUGGCUGGACCUGGUUUCCAUCCCACUCCCACUUCCUCUCAGUGCUUCUUGGCAGAAGCUGGCUGGCAGCCAGCGAGCAAGGACACCUGCGAGGUGUGGUCUGUAGGGUGAGACCUGAGGAGAGAAUUGAUUCAGAGCUGCAAACAGGACAAUCCGCCCAGGGCGGCGGUGGUUUUGUGAUGGUUCCUGAGACUCAACCAGUAUUUAGUUGGUAAAUCCCAUGUGCCAGGCACUGUGCUGGGUGCCUGGGGAUACGUGGUGGAUGCCGUUCUGGCCCUCUUGAACCCUGUGGUCUAGAGUGGCAGCUAAUGACCAUGAAAGUGCCUCUCGGCACGUGUGACAAGGACCUGAGUUCUGCACGUGAUGUUUGGGGGCUGAGGCACGCGUAGCCUCGGACAGCUCCUAAUCCCUAAGCCAUUCCUUGGAUCCACUCUGUGAUGUGAGCUUCCCCACCAGCUGACGGCCUGCCCAGGUGUCCUUGGCUUAGCCUUAGAGCAAAACAAACGUGCAUUUCCUAGUCACGCACUGACAGGAGGGACAGCAGCCGAGGAACACGCAGAGCAGGGGGGCAAAGGGAACUUGUGCUCGUUCUGCCCCACCGUCGAAAAGCCAUACACGCACAAUGAGGAACAGAUGGGUCCAGUGCAGGUGGACCACACCCCUCCCCAGCUGUAUUAUUCUUCACUGUGAUCAUCUGCUUACUUUUCAAAGCCCCUUAGCUGAUCUGCUAGUCCUCAGACCACACCCUGAGCAGGACGAUGGUAGCGGGAGACGAGUUAGAGGCCAGCGCCAUCCUCGCCAGGUGUGUCUUCAUGGUUCAGCCAGCCUCAUGUUUGCAGGCUUUCUGGAACAUUUAGAAGUCUGAAUGGCCCUCGACGCAGCGGGGCUCUCGGAGCCAGCACCCCCGCAUUCUGCUUUGGGUUCCUUUGGCAGUAAGAGGACCGUUCCCUUCGACUACUAUGUUUCUUUUAUGGUUUUUGCCUCGUUCUGCCUUGCAGUUGCACUCCUGGAAGCCGCUUUUAAGUUGGCGUUGACAAUAUGUGACUCCAGAUUGAGUCUUGAUGUUUCUUCCCUUGUCCGGCCCUCAGCACUCGACCUGGCCCUGCUGUGACCUGGCCAGCACUGUCCUUAACUAAAUGGUCCCAACAGCCCCUGGGAGAUGAACUCAGGCUGUCCCUGGUGGAGUUUACCUCAAGAACAGUAGGUGCCUCCUCAAUCUGAAUUGAUCUAUCGAGCCAAAGAGAUGAAUCCAGCCAAGGAAGUGUGUUAGCAAGAUAUGUCGGACUAAACUCCAUCACAUCCACUACAGAGAAGGCGAGAGCCCCGUUUGCUCUCUCCCCGGCCACCCAGUGAAUUCCUCCAACCUGUGUGACUGUCGGGUUCUUUCAGGCUCUGCUGCCUACAGCCAGGGGCCACAGGCUUCCUUCAAUCAGGUGAACCCCAGUGGGCACCGCUGUCUUGCAGCUACGAGGUGGCAGCG